CCUACGGGUGGCAGCAGUCGAGAAUAAUUGACAAUGGGCGCAAGCCUGACCCAGCGACGCCGCGUGGAGGAAGGAGGCUUUCGGGAUGUAAACUUCUUGUGACGGGGGAGCGUAGAAGACGGUACCUAACGAAUAAGCCACAGCUAACUACGUGCCAGCAGCCGCGGUAAUACGUAGGUGGCAAGCGUUGUCCGGAUUUAAUGGGUGUAAAGGGCGUGUAGCCGGGUUGACAAGUCAGAUGUGAAAGCCUGCGGCUUAACCGCAGAACUGCAUUUGAAACUGUUGAUCUUGAGUACUGGAGAGGCAGACGGAAUUCCUAGUGUAGCGGUGAAAUGCGUAGAUAUCAGGAGGAACACCAGUGGCGAAGGCGGUCUGCUGGACAGCAACUGACGGUGAGGCGCGAAAGCGUGGGGAGCAAACAGGAUUAGAUACCCGAGUAGUC
rnacentral:rRNA from 1 species